rnacentral:rRNA from 1 species
GACGAACGCUGGCGGCGUGCUUAACACAUGCAAGUCGAACGGAAAGGCCCUGCUUUUGUGGGGUGCUGGAGUGGCGAACGGGUGAGUAACACGUGAGUAACCUGCCCUCGACUUUGGGAUAACUUCAGGAAACUGGGGCUAAUACCGGAUAGGAGCUCCUGCUGCAUGGUGGGGGUUGGAAAGUUUCGGCGGUUGGGGAUGGACUCGCGGCUUAUCAGCUUGUUGGUGGGGUAGUGGCUUACCAAGGCUUUGACGGGUAGCCGGCCUGAGAGGGUGACCGGCCACAUUGGGACUGAGAUACGGCCCAGACUCCUACGGGAGGCAGCAGUGGGGAAUAUUGCACAAUGGGCGGAAGCCUGAUGCAGCAACGCCGCGUGCGGGAUGACGGCCUUCGGGUUGUAAACCGCUUUCGCCUGUGACGAAGCGUGAGUGACGGUAAUGGGUAAAGAAGCACCGGCUAACUACGUG